UACGAGGGGGGCGAGCGUUGUUCGGAAUUAUUGGGCGUAAAGGGCGCGUAGGCGGUGCGGUAAGUCACCUGUGAAACCUCUGGGCUUAACUCAGAGCCUGCAGGCGAAACUGCCGUGCUGGAGUGUGGGAGAGGUGCGUGGAAUUCCCGGUGUAGCGGUGAAAUGCGUAGAUAUCGAGAGGAACACCGGUGGCGAAGGCGGCGAUCUGGACGGUGACUGACGCUGAGACGCGAAAGCGUGGGGAGCGAACAGG
rnacentral:rRNA from 1 species